UAGGGAAUCUUCGGCAAUGGACGGAAGUCUGACCGAGCAACGCCGCGUGAGUGAAGAAGGUUUUCGGAUCGUAAAGCUCUGUUGUAAGAGAAGAACGAGUGUGAGAGUGGAAAGUUCACACUGUGACGGUAUCUUACCAGAAAGGGACGGCUAACUACGUGCCAGCAGCCGCGGUAAUACGUAGGUCCCGAGCGUUGUCCGGAUUUAUUGGGCGUAAAGCGAGCGCAGGCGGUUAGAUAAGUCUGAAGUUAAAGGCUGUGGCUUAACCAUAGUACGCUUUGGAAACUGUUUAACUUGAGUGCAAGAGGGGAGAGUGGAAUUCCAUGUGUAGCGGUGAAAUGCGUAGAUAUAUGGAGGAACACCGGUGGCGAAAGCGGCUCUCUGGCUUGUAACUGACGCUGAGGCUCGAAAGCGUGGGGAGCAAACAGGAUUAGAUACCCUGGUAGUCCACGCCGUAACGAUGAGUGCUAGGUGUUAGACCCUUUCCGGGGCUUAGUGCCGUAGCUAACGCAUUAAGCACUCCGCCUGGGGAGUACGACCGCAAGGUU
rnacentral:rRNA from 1 species